UGGGGAAUUUUGGACAAUGGGGGAAACCCUGAUCCAGCCAUCCCGCGUGUGCGAUGAAGGCCUUCGGGUUGUAAAGCACUUUUGGCAGGAAAGAAACGUCAUGGGUUAAUACCCUGUGAAACUGACGGUACCUGCAGAAUAAGCACCGGCUAACUACGUGCCAGCAGCCGCGGUAAUACGUAGGGUGCAAGCGUUAAUCGGAAUUACUGGGCGUAAAGCGUGCGCAGGCGGUUCGGAAAGAAAGAUGUGAAAUCCCAGAGCUCAACUUUGGAACUGCAUUUUUAACUACCGAGCUAGAGUGUGUCAGAGGGAGGUGGAAUUCCGCGUGUAGCAGUGAAAUGCGUAGAUAUGCGGAGGAACACCGAUGGCGAAGACAGCCUCCUGGGAUAACACUGACGCUCAUGCGCGAAAGCGUGGGGAGCAAACAGG
rnacentral:rRNA from 1 species